rnacentral:rRNA from 1 species
GAUGAACGCUAGCUACAGGCUUAACACAUGCAAGUCGAGGGGCAGCGGGAUUGAAGCUUGCUUCAAUUGCCGGCGACCGGCGCACGGGUGAGUAACGCGUAUCCAACCUUCCGUACACUCAGGGAUAGCCCUUUCGAAAGAAAGAUUAAUACCUGAUGGUAUGAUGAGAUUGCAUGAUAGCAUCAUUAAAGAUUUAUCGGUGUACGAUGGGGGAUGCGUUCCAUUAGGUAGUAGGCGGGGUAACGGCCCACCUAGCCUACGAUGGAUAGGGGUUCUGAGAGUGAACGGCCACAUUGGGACUGAGACACGGGCCCAAACUCCUACGGGAGGCAGCAGUGGGGAAUAUUGCACAAUGGGGGAAACCCUGAUGCAGCAACGCCGCGUGAGUGAAGAAGUAUUUCGGUAUGUAAAGCUCUAUCAGCAGGGAGAAAAUGACGGUACCUGACCUAAGAAGCCCCCGGNUAACUACGUG